AGGACGAACGCUGGCGGCGUGCUUAACACAUGCAAGUCACGGGGGCUCCGCAAGGAGUAACCGGCGAACGGGUGCGUAACACGUGAACAACCUGCCCUCGUGUGGGGGAUAGCCGGGCUAACGCCCGGGUAAUACCGCAUACGUUCUCUUGGGGGAGUCCCCGAGGGAGGAAAGCCCGUGGCAACACGGGCG
rnacentral:rRNA from 1 species